CCACUAUGCCUAGCCCUAAAUCCCAAUGCUUACCCUACCCAAGCAUUCGCCUGAGAACUACGAGCGCAAACGCUUAAAACUCUAAGGACUUGGCGGUGCCCUAAACCCACCUAGAGGAGCCUGUUCUGUAAUCGAUAAUCCACGAUACACCCAACCACCUCUUGCCAAAGCAGCCUACAUACCGCCGUCGCCAGCUCACCUCCACCUGAAAGCAUAAUAGUGAGCACAAUAGCCAACCCCGCUAAAAAGACAGGUCAAGGUAUAGCCAAUGAGAUGGAAGAAAUGGGCUACAUUUUCUAACAUAGAACACAACGAAAAGAGGUAUGAAACUCCCUCUCGAAGGCGGAUUUAGCAGUAAAGUCGGAUAAUCCAAGCCCCCUUUAAACUGGCCCUAGGGCACGU
rnacentral:rRNA from 1 species